CUUUUCUGGACUAUAAUCUAUUGUAGAUCUCUUGAACAAAAAACCAUGCCCAGUUCUUGGAAAAAAGGCACAGAUCACACCUGUUUACAAGAAGCAUAGUAGAAGUGAUCCACAAAACUACCAUCCUGUAUCGUUGACAUCUGUUUGUUGUGGAAUCUUAGAACAUAUUCUGAGCUCAAACAUAAUUAGAUGUCUUGAACAGGAUAACCUUCUCAAUGCCAGCUGACAAGGAUUUUGUAAACAUCAAUCAUGUGAAAUUCAACACACACUUUUCUCACAUGACAUACUGAAAGCUUUGGAUCAAGGCAACCAGGUAGAUGCAGUAUUUCUUGAUUUCUGAAAAGAAUUUGACUCAGUACCAUGUCUAUGCUUAUUGUCAAGAGUAUGAUCAUAUGGGGUAUCAAGUGAAAUUUGUAAAUUGAUUGAGGACUUUAUGGUAGGGAGGGCAUAGCAUGUUAUCUUGAAUGGAGAGUCAUGGUCAGAUGUAGAAGUAACUUCAGGUAUGUCCCACAGAAGUGUGUUGGGACCCUUUCAGACAAUAUUAAUAAUAAAAUCAGGCUUUUUACAGAUGAUGCAGUUGUCUAUAAUGAAGCACUGUCUAAAAGAAGCUGCAUAAACAUUCAGUCAGAUCUUGAUAAGAUUUCGGUGUGGUGCAAAGAUUAGCAACUUGUUUUAAAUGUUCAGAAAUGAAAAAAUGUGAUAUCCUAUGACUAUAAUGUCAAUGAGUCGCUGUUGGGAUUGGCCAACUCUUACAAAUAUGUGUGUGUAAUGCUUUGUAGUAGGGACAUGAAGUGAAAUGAUAGCUUCAGUCAUGGAUAAAAUAGGUGGUAGUCUAUGGUUUAUUGGUAGAAUACUGGGGAAGAGCAAUCAGUCUACAAAGGAGAUUGCUUGCAAUUCACUUGUGUGACCAGUUUUAGAAUAUUGCUCAAGUGUGUGGGACCUGUAACAGAUAGGAGAAUGGGGGAUACUGAACGUACAUAGAGAAGAGCAGCACAAAUGGUCACAGGUUUGUUUAAUAUGUGGGAGAGUGUCACAUAGAUAUGAAGGAACUGAACAAGAAGACUCUUUAAGAUAGACGUAAUCUAUCCCAAGAAAGUCUACUAGCAAAAUUUCAAGAACUAGCUUUAAAGGAUUACUCUAGGAAUCUACUACAACCCUCUAUGUAUCACUCACAAAGGGAACACGAGGAUAAGAUUAGAAUAAUUAUAUUUCACUCAGUAGCAUUCAAACAGUCAUUCUUCCUGUCUUUUGUGCGUCAAAGGAAUGGCAAGAAAGCCUAAUAACUGGUACAAUGGGUUGUACCCUCUGCCAUGCAUGUCACAGUGGUUUGCAGUGUGUAGAUGUAGAUGUAAGUGUAAGGUGUUUUUGGUGUUUCCCUAUUGUUGUCCACCCUCUGUUGCUGAGGGAACAUGGUUGGACUUUAAGUCCAGUAACAAUGAAGAGAACAAUCAGCUCUUUUAGAUAGAUGAGUUAAAGAAUGAACUAUAUAAAGCUUUCAAUUGAGACACAAGAGCCAAACAUAGACACUAUAUGUUGGAACAUUUAAAUAAUGAGAAUAUACACUGCUUCUUGGAGGAAUGCAAUGAUGAUCUGCUUACUGAAGCCUGGGAAGGAAGGAUCACAACAGCUUAAGUAGUUGUUGCUGGGUAGAAUUGCCAUUUGUAUAGGGAAACACUGGAAUAAAUGAUCAACAGCCUCUUAGUAUGGACUCUAGAAAGCAGAAAGCUUCUCAUUCAUAUUUAGCGUGGAUUCUGCAACAAUUAAUGGGAAUUUUUGUAUAUUGAAAAGGGCAAUGACACUACAUGAAGAUACAAUUUCAUCUGACUAACUGCAUGAAUGGAACUUCCCAGGUCAUCUUUCAAUUAAAGUGUAGUUACUUUCUGAGCACAGGGUUGGCAGUGCACACUCACAUCAAGAUACUCAGGAGAAAGUCCCUUGGGCAUGUCUAUUGAACUAUUCACACUUGGUCAUUUUGUUUUAUUGAGAACAGAGGCUUGGAAGUGGAUGCUGUUUUUGUAACAAUUUUUCCUAUGGUUUAAAUAAAAUUCCAUGCUAACUAAUGAACAUGGGGAAAAUGAAUGUAAGGAAGACAUAUUGACAGAAAUGCAGCAAGGAGUCAAUGAAAAGGCGAUGCGGCUUGUAAAAUAUGAGACUACUGUUAAUGCUGCCACUAGGAAGUUCAACUUUCCUUAAGCUACUUUACAUUACUAUGUAAAAAAAAACUGAUGAAGAUUUGCCGCAGAAUGCAGCCAGGUUUAUAAAUACAUUUAAUCAUGAUUACAAGAAUUGGAACAACAUGUUAUCGAUUCAGACAGAAGAGCUUUUGAACUGACAAGAUAAUUCAAACACCGAGCCAGCAACCGGCGCGGACAUUCCUUGAUGCGGCAAGUAGCGGGCCGCCAUGGAGCAAACAGUGAGGCUGAUGACAUCGCUCCAUAGAGGUCCAGAGUCACGGUGGCGGGAUACUCCGAGGUGGUUGUUGGACUUCGGAGAAAAAAAAACCGAAGAAUGUAUAAUGAGGAACUUUGUCUGUAACAGCGAAAGUAGGAAGAAGCAAUUUAAUGGCUGGUAACGCAGUAGGUGGUACCUCAAGAGCCUACUGUACAUAGGUAUCAGAAAUAAAUCGCUGUAACUAUUGUAAAAAAGGAGUUCUGAAUAAGAGUUAUUACGAGAAGCAUCAGACAACGUCAGUAACUGGUGAAUGAUCAACAUAGGUGACAUUUUCUUCAUCAGCUGCACCAUACCCUCUUUCACUUGAUGAAUUUAGUCAGCAAUAAGACAGAGCUGAACUACGCAAGUAAUAAAACUCAUCAGUGGGGCAGGUACAGCACAAAUGCAGCUAGCAUAUCUUAAUCUUCUAACUGCUCUGGACGUGUUAACGUGCGUGCCUAUGCCUGUGUGCUCUGAACGUGUUUACGUGCACCACCAGUCCUUCACCUGGCACUCUGAACAUGUCUACGCGUAGACAUGUUCAGAGUACCAGGUAGAAGGACUGGUGGCAUGCGUAAACACGUUCGGAGCUCUCAGGGAAAGGUACAAAGGCAUGUGCGUUAACAUGUCCAGAGCAUUUAAAGGGUUGAUGGUGCAUCACCUGAAUUUGUUAGAGUUGGCCAUGAAUCUGGCAUGCUUCAGGGCUUUGUAAAAUAGGUGGAGCAUUUCAUUAAAUAAGUAAUACCAUCACAAAGAUAUCCAAUCUUUUUGUUUCUGGAUAAUCAUACUUCACAUCUCACUUUGCGAGCCAUUACCCACUGCAGAGAUAAUUUCAUAACUCUCCUAGGUUUCCCACUGCACACAAGACACGGAUUGCAAACUUUGGAUGUGUUAUUUUACAGACCUCUGAAGACAACCUAAAGUAGAGCUUGUACUGAUUUAUCUUGCUAAUCAUCCAGAUCAGGUAAUAACAAUAGAAGUCAUUGCAAGCUUUUUCAACAUUAUCUUUAACAAAGCUGCAUCUUUAAACAAUGCAAAUCAAGGCCAUUAUAGACACAGGAACUGAGAAAUUAAUGAUGAAGACUUCACAGCAUCGCUAACAGUGGACACUCCUAUCAAUGAAAAUUCAACCAACUCUGGUGCUCUACCUGGUAUGUCAGCAAAACCAACUGCAGAAUUUGAUGCACUGCAAGGUCGUUCAUCUAACUCUACUACUAGCUCUAUUUUACCCUUGUUAUCCCAAGCAGAACCUCUACCAGGGUCUUCAUCUAACCCUAUACCUACUUCUAUUUUAUCUCCAUUACCGCAAGCAGAACUUGGUGAAUUAUCAGUGCCCUCACAUACACCUUCUUCCACAUCUACCUGUGCUUUACCACUGUUACCUCAAGCUCCUCCUAAAUGAGGCACAAAAGAACAAAGAAAUAAGUUGCCAUAUCUACCCAUAACUAGCACGUCCACGAAAAUACCUCUGGAAGAAAAGAGACAAAGAAAAUAGAACAACAGGAAGAAGAAAGAAAAAUGAAGAGAUGUAAAAAAUUGAGAGAGAAUGCAAAUGCAAACAAAAAAAAUAUGAACGAAGGUUCUAAACGUAAACUUGCGUUCAGCAGAGGUUUUGAAGUGAGACGAAGAGAGGAUCCUAGAAUAGACUUCUGCAAAUCAUCUUCAGACACAUCCAAUGAAAUUGAGUACACUGACAGUGUUUCCAAUUAUGUUGAUGAGACAGACAUCAUCCUUUGUGAUAAGGUUGGAAAAACAAAAAUGUGGUCUCAGUGUUCCUGAUGCAAAGAGUGGGCUCAUGCUCCAUUUUGGGCUUAAAUUACAGAAAACAAAGUAAAAAAUGAUAUAUUUGUGACUUU